rnacentral:lncRNA from 1 species
CAAAAACACCCUCAUGUUCCUACUGAAUGAAUAUGGACCACAAUCCUGGUGGUUAUCAUUGAUAAAGACUACUUUAGCUUUGGGGUUUCUGUGUUUGUAUGUGGCUCAUUGUUGAGUACAGCCACAAGACUGAUAUGUACUAAAUGUAAAUUGGGUUUUGUAAAAUUUGAAGUUAAGUUUCCAAUGGUAAAAUCAUGUUUCAAUGACAAAAAAUACAGAAAUAUUGUUUUAAAUACCAAUGUCAAGGUGCAGAAUGCUGCAGAACACAGUAUCUGUAUUCAAAGGAGCAAGGAAGGAACCUGAGAUGUUCAAUGUCAAAGCUGAAUUUAAAAUAUGGUAGUGCAUAUCUCAAGUGAAACCUGUCAAAAAUAUAUAGGCCAUUUUAUUAUAAAUAUGUAUCCUGUCUCUCAUUUUUCUUAUAAUUUUCUUAGUAAUUACUAAGUCCAGAAUUUUGAUAAGAUUCCUGGGAAAAGUAUAUUACAUUUCUCAUCAGAGAGAGUUUUCUGAACUAAUUAGCUCAGAUUAUUAGAAUAGCAGCAAAUACCUGUAUGGUGUUUUAUCAUACCCAUAUGGGAAACUGGUACAUCUUCUUUUCCUGUAUCCUCUGUUUUAACCAACAUCUUGUUUCUUUUUCCACUCUUUUGCAAGAUACUGGCCUCAUAUCCAAGAAAAAUAUUAUGAUAAAGCAUAAAGAAUUCAGAUA